UCCAGUGUGGCAGAUUAGUGCAAUAAAUUUAGGGUUUAUUAAUGGGUAACCCCCACUGGAU
rnacentral:tRNA from 1 species